UUUAUGAAAACUCUUUUUCAAUAUUCACAUAUGCUUCGACUGAAGACUUCUUAAACUCAGUCUUAUUAAUUACAUAGGACUACUCUUUUCUAUCAAGAUCGAUAGAUUCCAUCUUAGUGCAUCCUACUCUAACAGUAAAUCUAAACCUACUAUAGUAACAUAUAUAGUAAGGAUCCGAAUGGCUAGAGAUUAAGAAAAUGGUAGUCAAAUUAAGUAGCCUCAUUGUGAAUAGCCAACACACUGUAGGUCAAAGGACCACUCACACCACUGC
rnacentral:lncRNA from 1 species